rnacentral:rRNA from 1 species
GGCUUACCAAGGCGACGAUCAGUAGCCGACCUGAGAGGGUGAUCGGCCACAUUGGAACUGAGACACGGUCCAAACCCCUACGGGAGGCAGCAGUGGGGAAUAUUGCACAAUGGGCGAAAGCCUGAUGCAGCAACGCCGCGUGAGUGAUGAAGGCCUUCGGGUCGUAAAACUCUGUCCUCAAGGAAGAUAAUGACGGUACUUGA